GGAAACUCACAUUACCAUAUGUAAACCAGAUAGCCAAUGGGAAUUUGCUGUGUGGCUCAGGGAACUCAAACGGGCUCUGUAUCAACCUAGAGGGGUGGUCUCUUGGCUGCUCCUCCUGUGAGGACCAGUUCCUCCCUUGAACCCGCCCUUUGGAACUCAGGGAAGGCCAUGGAGGCUGGAGUCUUGCCCACAAGAAAUGAAGACAGAAAAGCCCCGGCACCAGGGAGCCCCACAGGGCCCUGCUCGGUUUCACUACUCGCCCCUUAAUUUGCUGCUUGAUUCCAGCAUUUUACAGCAGUGUAAAUUGUAAUGUUUUUAUAUUUUGUUUACUUGCUAAACAACAUUUUUGUGAAAGGGCAGGUAGUCUGCCAAGAUAACAAAAUGUGCAAUAAAAUUAGAAGUAGAAAUGUGGUAUGAACGGAUGUACCAGAGGCAAAUUACAGACGGAUGCUUUGCCUUUUCAAAGGGGGCCUGUUCUCUUCAGCUGAUUGCUGCACGGGUUCAUUAGCGUCAGCUUUUUUGCUGGUUUUUAAAGAGAAAGCUGAGGACUUAACUUCCCUGAUGGCACAAUGGUUAACAAUCCGCCUGCCAAUGCAGAAGGCACAGGUUGGAUCCCUGGUCCAAGAAAAUUCCACAUGCCAUGGGGCAACUAAGCCCAUGCACGCACCACAGCUCCUGAAGCCUGCGCACCUAGAGCCCACGCUCUGCAACAAGAGGAGCCGCUGCAAUAAGAAGCCGUGCACCGCACCGAGAGCAGCCCCCGCUCGCCACAACUCGAGAAAGCCCGAGAAUAGUAAUGAAGACCCAGCGCAGCCAUAAAUAAAUUUUUUUUUUAAAGAGAGAAAGCUGAAAUCAAAGAUGUAAAAUCUUUGUGUCUCCAGCAACAAAUUGGGGGUAUCCAGUUCAGUUCAGUCGCUCAGUCAUGUCCGACUCUUCGCAACCCCAUGAAUCACAGCACGCCAGGCCUCCCUGUCCAUCACCAACUCCUGGAGUUUACUCAGACUCACGUCCAUCGAGUCAGUGAUGCCAUCCAGCCAUCUCAUCCUCUGUCAUCCCCUUCUCCUCCUGCCCCCAAUCCCUCCCAGCAUCAGAGUCUUUUCCAAUGAGUCAACUCUUCGCAUGAGGUGGCCAAAGUACUGGAGUUUCAGCUUUAGCAUCAUUCCCUCCAAAGAAAUCCCAGGGCUGAUCUCCUUCAGAAUUGGGGUGAGGGAGAGUUUAAAACCACUGUGGGCUAGACAAAACCCACUUGCAGGCCACGUUUACCCACAUUGGUCACCAGUUUGCAAUCUCUAGUAUGGACUGUAAUAAAAGGCUGACGGUUUAGCGAUCAGCUUCAAAAUUAGGAUGGCAUCAUUUCUUCCAUGUGGCAUAUAUUGUAACUCUUUGAACAAGCAGACAUAAAGUACAGUAUGCCCUUCUCUGUUUUGAAGAUGUAACAGACCUCUCUUUACUGCUUCUCCCAAGGAGUUAUGCAAAUAAAUGACAG
ensembl:lncRNA